UUUAAGAUGUUAAAAAAGUUAACACAGAGGUUGAAUCUAGAUUGUGUUAAAAAAAAUGUUGAAGCCAGUGAAUUUACAUGAUGGUGUUAUUUAGGGCUGCACAAUUAAUAGAAUUUCUAAUCGCGAUUAGAUUAUGGAUGCCACAAUUACGUAAUCGUUUAAAGCGGCAAUUAAUCGUUCAAAGUUCACUUAUGUUAUUCUGCAUGCUUAAGAUAUGUUUUUUUCUUUCUACAUGUUAUCUUAAGGGUUUUUCCAUUGUUUUAGUUUUGGUUUUAUAUAUAAUUUAAAGACAAAACCAAUCUGAUGUAUAUUUGACAUUUGAGGCUUAAUACACUUAAUAAAAGCACUAAAGGUUUUUCAGUUAGAGUGUUUUCAGGCUUUUUUAUUUUCAUAUAAAAAUGCGGAAUGCAGUUGCAUUAAACAAUGGUAUAAACAUCAUUCAAUGUAAAUUGUGAUAAUCGUAAUUAAUAAUCGUAAUUACAGUAAUCAACAAUUAUGAUUUUUGUCAUAAUCGUGCAGCCCUAGUGUUAUUUUCACAGGGUCCUCGUGGACCUGCAGGACAAGUUGGAGUGCAAGGAAUUAUGGUGAGAAAUGCUUUUAUUACUUUAAAUCCCAAAACUUGGAACAAGGUGAAAAUAUCAAAAUAUUUAUAUGUAAGAAUUAUUUUAUAUAAAGAAUACUUAAAUACCUUGAAUAUCCUUAUAUUCAUAUAUGUUUUUGUGUCUUAAUCUGAAAGGGACCUCCAGGCCCACAAGGCAGACCAGGACCCCCUGGACCCCCUGGAGAACCGACAGCACUACCUAUUGUUGGAGACAUGGGGACAUUAUUGAAGAACGCCUGCAGUGUGUGUCAGACCAGAGUACCAGGAUUGCCAGGGCAGAAAGGAGAAAAAGGUUCCCUUGGAACUCCAGGUAUCCCAGGAAUGGAUGGAGAAAAGGUACAAUUUUAAUCUCCUCAUUAAUUAAUAUUCUGUUCUUCCACCUAAAAUUCCCUAGCACUGAUUUCUGUCAUCUUUUCUGGCUUAUGCAAUUAACAAAUUGUUUAUGGAGGGCACCAUUGUAGACACAAAUACACCAGACAUUUCUGCAGUCCAGUUAUUUGAUAUGAAUGUGUAUAUAAUAUGAUACGAAGUUUUUAAUCCUG
rnacentral:lncRNA from 12 species